UCUCCCUCUUCCUGCCACUUCUUCCUCUUCAGCUCGAAUACUACCACGCCACAUCCCUUCUUCCACGAGAUUCGUCGUCAGCUAUGCCAUCGCCCGUUAGGCAAGCCCUCGCCAUCCUCUGGCCAAGGACGGAGAGAUUGAGUAGGGCCAGUCCACCAUAGCUUCUGCCAAAUCCUCUAAACAUGCCACCAUAAUUGCCAAUAGCACCGUCCCUUCCUCGAACCCCCACUUGUCCUCCGGAUUCAGGAUCAAAGGGAGGGAGGUGGAGGACCCCGCCACCAAGGCCGAGAUGAAGACCAUGGCGG
rnacentral:lncRNA from 1 species